UGGCAAUGAUUUGAAUUUAUCCGCGCUUCUGAGUUUAUGAACCAUGAAGCAAAAAAGUCAUUGGUUGAAUUUCUUAAUAUGAGCCA
rfam:Amborella trichopoda AMTR_V1.0_contig_27572, whole genome shotgun sequence.